GAAGUGAUUGCAAGUUCAGCAGCAUGAAACUGCUCUUUAUCCGUGCACUGCUGUCAGGAACAAAUGCUGAAUGGAGAGUCCGGAGGCAGAGGCCUGCGAUUCUCCAUGCUGGAGAGCCCGCCAAGAGGGAUUCUCCUACAACUUUCCAGAACACAGCAGUUCUGGGGCCAGGCCAAGCUAGCUAUGUACAGCUGGAAGAGGCUCUCUCCCCCAGAUGCUGAGUGACUAGAAGCCAAGAGGGAGGGAGUUCUGGAAUGGUCUGCAGCAGCUGGAGGUGAGGCCUGAGGGGGCUGGGGCGGGGCCUGGGAAGAGGGGCCAGUGCACAGAGUAUUCUGAACCGCAGAAAGUAUUCUGUUCACUCUGGGAGAAAAACAAGAGUGUUGUUCAAAACAGCUGGACGCCAGGCCCAGUUGCCCUCGCCUGGUUUUUACUCUUAAACACCUUCGCAUUUCAUGGCUGUUCCAAA
ensembl:lncRNA novel transcript